rnacentral:rRNA from 1 species
GAUGAACGCUGGCGGCGUGCCUAAUACAUGCAAGUCGAGCGAACAGAUAAGGCGCUUGCUCCUUUGACGUUAGCGGCGGACGUGUGAGUAACACGUGGGUAACCUACCUAUAAGACUGGUGUAACUUCGGGAAACCGGAGCUAAUACCGUAUAACAUUUGGAACCGCAUGGUUCUAAAGUGAAAGAUGGUUUUGCUAUCACUUAUAGAUGGACCCGCGCCGUAUUGGCUAGUUGGUACGGUCACGGCUUAGCAAGGCGACGAUACGUAGCCGACCUGAGAGGGGGAUAGGCCACACUGGAGGGGAGCCACGGACCAGGGUCCUACGGGAGGCAGCAGAAGGGAAUGUGACGCAGUGGGCGAAAGCAUUACGGAGCAACGCCGCGUGAGUGAUGAAGGGGUUCGGCGCGUAAAAAUCUGUUAUUAGGGAAGAACAAAUGUGUAAGGAACUGUGCACGUCUUGACGGUAACUGGUCAGAAAGCAACGGCUAACUACGUG